UACGAAGGGUGCUAGCGUUGUUCGGAAUCACUGGGCGUAAAGCGCGCGUAGGCGGCUUUUCAAGUCAGGGGUGAAAUCCCAGAGCUUAACUCUGGAAUUGCCCUUGAAACUGUAAAGCUGGAGUGUUGGAGGGGAUAGCGGAAUUGCUAAUGUAGAGGUGAAAUUCGUAGAUAUUAGGAGGAACACCGGUGGCGAAAGCGACUAUCUGGAACGUUACUGACGCUGAGGCGCGAAAGCGUGGGGAGCAAACAGG
rnacentral:rRNA from 1 species